rnacentral:rRNA from 1 species
UACACACCGCCCGUCACACCAUGGGAGUUUGGCUUUACCUGAAGGCGGUGCGCUAAACCCGCAAGGGAGGCAGCCGACCACGGUAGGGUCAGCGACUGGGGGUG